rnacentral:rRNA from 1 species
GAGUUUGAUCAUGGCUCAGAUUGAACGCUGGCGGCAGGCCUAACACAUGCAAGUCGGGCGGUAGAGAGAAGCUUGCUUCUCUUGAGAGCGGCGGACGGGUGAGUAAUGCCUAGGAAUCUGCCUGGUAGUGGGGGAUAACGCUCGGAAACGGACGCUAAUACCGCAUACGUCCUACGGGAGAAAGCAGGGGACCUUCGGGCCUUGCGCUAUCAGAUGAGCCUAGGUCGGAUUAGCUAGUUGGUGAGGUAAUGGCUCACCAAGGCGACGAUCCGUAACUGGUCUGAGAGGAUGAUCAGUCACACUGGAACUGAGACACGGUCCAGACUCCUACGGGAGGCAGCAGUGGGGAAUAUUGGACAAUGGGCGAAAGCCUGAUCCAGCCAUGCCGCGUGUGUGAAGAAGGUCUUCGGAUUGUAAAGCACUUUAAGUUGGGAGAAGGGCAGUAAAUUAAUACUUUGCUGUUUUGACGUUACUGACAGAAUAAGCACCGGCUAACUCUGUGCCAGC